GACGAACGCUGGCGGCGUGCUUAACACAUGCAAGUCGAACGGAAAGGCCCUGCUUUUGUGGGGUGCUCGAGUGGCGAACGGGUGAGUAACACGUGAGUAACCUGCCCUUGACUUUGGGAUAACUUCAGGAAACUGGGGCUAAUACCGGAUAGGAGCUCCUGCUGCAUGGUGGGGGUUGGAAAGUUUCGGCGGUUGGGGAUGGACUCGCGGCUUAUCAGCUUGUUGGUGGGGUAGUGGCUUACCAAGGCUUUGACGGGUAGCCGGCCUGAGAGGGUGACCGGCCACAUUGGGACUGAGAUGCGGCCGAGACUCCUACGGGAGGGAGUAGUGGGGAAUGUUGCACAAUGCGCGGAAGCCUGAUGCAGCAGCGCCGCGUGUGGGAUGACGGCCUUCGGGUUGUACACCGCUUUCGCCUGUGACGAAGCGUGAGGGACGGUAAUUGGUAAAGAAGCACAGGCUAACUACGU
rnacentral:rRNA from 1 species